CAAGUUAGAGCAUGAACAUGCAUUUCACUUACACUGAAAAGAUAGUAUUAAAUACUUAACUCGA
rnacentral:tRNA from 1 species